CACGACAUUUGAAAGAGGUGCAUUCAAUGUCGAGGAUAGAGUAUGCUGCCUACAAGAUUUUCAUGACUUUACAGAUCAAACAAUCCACCUACGGCUAUGAGCACCAAAAGAGGAAUACAAAGCAAUUGGAUCAGUGGGAAAGAUUAAGCGGAAUUUACCCGAUGCCAGUGGAUCAGCAAGUGUCAUCCAUGAAGCCAAUCAAGAGCAUCCUUUCAGACACUGAGAAAGACUCCUCUAAUGAGACAGAGAUAACUGUAAGGAACUGGUUGGAUAUAGCUCAAGAGAGCUACAUCAGCGCCAACGUUACGAAGGAGGUUUGCCCGGUGUUUGGAGAGAUUGGAGAGGAGUGCAUAUUUAUGGUGAAAGUUGAGUCUAGAUGGGGGGCACUCAUGGACAAAACUGAUACCAGGAUUUUUAGGGGUCAAGGAGUAGGGAAGCAGGUGAUUUGUUAUACUUUGCACCUAAGAAAGAGAUUUUGUGAUGCAAUUGAGAAACAGAGGUAUGUAGAUGAA